GGAAGAUGAUGGCUUUUCCUCAUGAUGGUCUGCAGGCGAUUCAGCGGGCACUGCAGAGAUUUCAAAGUCUCAGCUGAUGGCUGGAG